UCGGGGGCAAAGGUGUCGGGAGGGGGCUGGGGCGGUAAUUAGGGGCGAUCGGCAAAUGUUGCCUUUACCCAGUGGUGGGUUAACGCCCGGGCUCAGGCCCGGCCAAUUUGGGGACCUCUCAGGAGCGUUGUCAUUCUGGCCACGCCCCCUGUUGCUUCUUUCCCCUGUGGCCCCGCCCCCAGCCAGGUUGGAAGGUGAUGGAGCCUGUGGUACAGUGGGUCUGCACAUGAUGCAGGAGAGUGGAGCAUGCUUUGAAGAUGCAACUGAGGAUGUCAUUACAUCAAUAAACCUAAUAAAAAAUCCAAGAAACCCCCCCACCAUCCCUUUCUCUCACUAAUUACAUCAGAAUUACUAAUUUAACAGAAAUGUCUUUUUAAACAAUGAUGAGUUCUAUGGGCCUGUGGUUCCUGGGAGCCAGGAAUAUUCCUGGCCUGGGGCCUGGCUCCAGCAAUGUUUGAAGCUAGGUCUCUCCCUCGGCCCUGCCUUCUGCCCCCUGGCAUGCACACACACCCUGUGCAUACCCCGGCAGACUUAAAACAGCCCUGAGCCCCCACCCGUCACCGGCAGCGCAGCUGAAGGGCUUCCUGCCUGCUCAUUCCACAGGCUGCUGGCCCCUCCCUUUAGCCCCUGGGCAGAUUGGGUCUGUGUCUACGUGCGCUUCUCUUGCCCCAAGCACCCCUGUGGCCAAUAGGAAGCUGCAGGGGCAGUGCCUGGGGGUAGCAGUGCACGGAGACCCCCCAGCCUGCCAUGCCUAGGAGCCCCAGCCUCUACAUAUCAGUGGAAACAGGUUUUCCGUGAUGAUAGGAGCCACUCAUUCUUGACAGUCAAAAGUCUGUCUGACUCAUGAUGGAGUAGUUGAGCAGAUUCUACAAGGGCCCUGUGUCCGAACUAUAAUACAUUUCAGCAUGCCCUAGAAAGCAAUGUCAAAAGAUAUGAACCAGUAACUUGACACCCAACUGGAAGCGGCUUCCCUUCAGAGAAAAAUGGAACAUUUGGAAACAGCCUUUAUGGCACAAUUUUGGGACAUCAUUCUUCAACGUUUUCAAAUGACCAGCUUGCUGUUACAGAAAAGUGACAUCAACCUGAAUACAGCAGUUCACUUACUGCAAUCACUACAAUUAUUUGUUUCUUCUCUUUGAGAUUAAUUCAAGAUUUUUGAAAAUCCUGCUACAAACCCAUGGAAGGCUCUUUCACAGAAUUAUCAAACUGAUCUGAAUUGUUACUGAAAACAGAAACAGUUACCAGAUGAAUCAGGAGGACCUGAAGUUUUACUUGAGGAAAGUCAAAAGUUUUGCACUGAGACUUUUUAUGUAACUUUAUCUUCAUCACUGACAGGAUGCCUAUAAGUUGUUGAAUGACCACUUUGGAGUACUAUUUGAAAACAACUUGCUGGACAUUUCUGACAUUCACAAGCAUGCCGCUGAACUUGCUGCAGUUUACCCUGAUGACUUGGAACAACAUUUUCCUGAUGGACUCAUACAAUUCAAAUGCUUUGUACAGGAUGAGCCUGACAAAUCUCCAGCCCAUCUGCUGCAAGUUUUAAAGCAAAGUGGCCUUCAGUCAACAUUCCCUAAUACGUACAUUGCUCUCAGAAUUUUCAUGACCCUACUAGUUAAAAAUUGUGAAGGAGAACGUACGAUUUCCAAGCUGACAAGGAUAAAAAAUGAACUGAGAUCAACAGUGCAUCAAAGGCAUCUGACUGCCUUGUCUCUAAUGGAACUUGAGUCAGAACUGGCUCGACAAAUGGACUUUGAUGAUAUUAUACAUGUUUUUUUCCUCCCUUAAAAUUCAGAAACAAACAAUCAUUUAAAAGGAAAGAUGUACGUUUUUAUGAUAUGUUUUGUAUGUUUAGUUUUGGGUACACAAUGUGAUAGAUAAUAUUAUUAAAAUAUAAGUGUAAUGAGUACAUUAAAGAGAGACAUUUAUAGUAUAUUUCUUGUAGCACAUUUUUUCCAUUGCUAUGUACUGAUGUUACUGGGAAUGAUAGGCAAAGUCUGGCUGUAAUUAGUUUCCUAAAUUACUCUCAGUUCAGUGGAUGAGUUACAAGUCACAAAAUCAAAAUGACACCAACAUGUAAUCUCUUUAAAAGAAAUCUUAAAUUUAAAGGGCAUGCAUGGAGUCUUUAUAUUAAUGCAUUUUGAUACAUUUGUGUUUUUAAUGGGGUGGAGGGGUCCCAGGUGUUUUGUGCCCAGGGCCCCAAUAAAUCUUAAUCUGCCUCUGCCUGUACCCUUUAGCUAUCUAUAGCAACCUUGGGACCUUUUCAUCACCCACAUGGCAACAUUGAUGAGAGGGCUUUUUUUAAGCACCAUUUUUUCUUUUAAAGGUGAAUGCCCAAGUUUGCACCCUUCUUUUUCUUCUUUAUCAAGUAUGAAGCAGGGCAGGGGUUUUCCUGUUUGUUUUUUACCUUAAAAUAUCAAGUUUUUUGCCUUCGCUGGUUUUGCUGGAUUUCUUGUUGGAGAAGCAGAGAAAUGGAACUGGAGCUUUGUUAGCCCUCGUUCAGCACCCCUCUGCUUCAACUCUAAACAAUGGGAACUUUUCUCCCAACUUUUUAAUCAGGUUUUGGAUUAAAUAGUUGCCUUAAAAAAAGCAAAUGAAAUACAAUUUGACAAAAAUCUCAUCCAUGCUCAGUUAUUUAGAUUUCACUUUCUUGGUACUGGUGAUGUCAUAAACUUACUAGUUCUUCAAUAAUACAUAGUGUCUUCCAGGAAGAACACUAGUGACAAGACUUUCAUUUAUAAUGUGCUUAAAAAAGCCCCAAAACAAUUAAAAGACCUUCCCCACUCCCCACAAUAUUUAGGACUCUAUACAUUUUGGGGGUUUUUGUUUGUAAAAAAAAAAACUUUUGGUUUUUCCUUUGCACUAUUAACACUUGUCAAAACUGUAAGUUAAUGUAAAGGGUGCAAAAUUCUAGCAAUAUAAUAGGCCUUUAGUAACAGAAUGUUGGCUCUUGUGCUGGUGUGGUAUUUAGUGGGAACAGGAUGGCAUUUUAGAAAGGGAGAAUUAUCUUUGGUUUGGACAGAGUAAACUAAUAGACUAUGAAGUGUGCAGAA